rnacentral:rRNA from 1 species
CCUACGGGAGGCAGCAGUGGGGAAUCUUGCGCAAUGGGCGAAAGCCUGACGCAGCAACGCCGCGUGGGGGAUGAAGGCUCUCGGGUUGUAAACCCCUUUCAGCAGGGACGAAUCAAGACGGUACCUGCAGAAGAAGCCCCGGCUAACUACGUGCCAGCAGCCGCGGUAACACGUAGGGGGCAAGCGUUGUCCGGAUUUAUUGGGCGUAAAGAGCUCGUAGGUGGCUGAGUAAGUCGGAUGUUAAAUCCCCAGGCUCAACCUGGGACACCACCCGAUACUGCUCUGGCUAGAGUCCGGUAGGGGAGCGUGGAAUUCCUGGUGUAGCGGUGAAAUGCGCAGAUAUCAGGAGGAACACCAGCGGCGAAGGCGGCGCUCUGGGCCGGUACUGACACUGAGGAGCGAAAGCGUGGGUAGCAAACAGGAUUAGAUACCCUGGUAGUCCACGCCGUAAACGUUGGGCACUAGGUGUGGGGUCUAUUCAACGGACUCCGUGCCGUAGCUAACGCAUUAAGUGCCCGCCUGGGGAGUACGGCCGCAAGGCUAAAACUCAAAGGAAUUGACGG